rnacentral:rRNA from 1 species
AUGGGCGCAGCUGAUCAGCAUGCCGCGUGAGUGAGAAGGUCUUCGGGUUGUAAAACUCUUUUUUUAGGGAAGAAAAAGACUGUACCGCAAGAAUAAGCCCGGCUAACUUCGUGCCAGCAGCCGCGGUAAUACGAAGGGGGCUAGCGUUGCUCGGAAUCACUGGGCGUAAAGCGCACGUAGGCGGACUCUUAAGUCGGUGGUGAAAUCCUGGAGCUCAACUCCAGAACUGCCUUCGAUACUGGGAGUCUCGAGUUCGGGAGAGGUGAGUGGA